AUUAUAAAGUAUGUCAAUGACUAACAAGUUACAAUAUUAUGAAUGGAUAUUGCUCUAAAAUUUCUUAAAGGCCUAUUUGCAUAUACAUACAUGUGUAUAUACAAAUAGGCCAUUAUGAAAUUUUGCAGUCAUGUGUUUUUAUGUCUUUAUUCACAACUGAUGUAUACAGAAAGACAUUUAACCCCGCUUUGCUGAAGUAGCUUUAAUUUUAUGUGAUCCUUUAAAAAUAUAUUUUAGAAAAAGCCAAUUUACUAUUUAUACAUAUUUCUCAACAUUACUAUUUUUACAAACCCAACAUAAAAUGCCAGCAACUGUUAAAAAAACUCAAACUGAUACAGCUAUAAAAGACAAAAUUUUAAAACAUUUAAAAAGAUGUCAAAAUAUAAUGUCCUUGUAUUUAUCUAGUACCCCUGGAGCUAGGUGUGGGGAUGGACUAUACAUUCUAAUAGGUUUAUUUUUUUUUUUAAAGACUACUAAGAGUUUUAUCAUUCUGAUAUGAAACAAACAAAAUCACUGUGGAUAAACUUUUUUAAAAAAUGUAUAUUUCCUGAGUUUUUAUUCAGAUCAUAGGAAUUAUAAAUUUUUUAAUAAUCCAGGAUAAUUAUCAUAGACAGCAUACUUUUUUUUUCCCCUUUUAUGCUUCAAAGUCAAGAAGUACAGCUAUCACUUACACUGUCAUAUCUGUCUACGAAUUCCUCCUCCUUUCCUCCAUCUUCCUGACCCACACUUUUUAGUGCUUUCUAUUUCUAGUCUGCUUCAUCAACCAAACUUAUUCUGAACUGGAGAUUAAAUAAAAGUGAUAAGAUAGAGUGAGAGCUAAUCAGUAAAUAGAUGACUUCAGUGCUGGGGAUUUAAGGUGAUUUUAUCCUUUGGCAUAAUAACGUUUCACCUUCUAACCUAGGGAUACGAGUGGUUAGCGAGUAUCUCACUGAUCGUUAUCUUAAAUUUGGCAGCCUGUAUCUCAGCUUGUAGCCUAACUGUGCCUCUCAACUGAAUGAAUUUUAAUCCAAUCAAUCUAAUUCAAUAUAGCUAAUAUGUUCUAUGUAUAUACUUUUCACUCAGGUUCCAUGGAGACCCAAGCUUGGCUCUGCCUUUCUGUAAGAUAUUUUAAGGGAAAUGGCCUAGAUUAUAUGUACACUUUUAUGUAUGUCUACAGUCACCAUAAGUUUUGUGACUAUGAGAAUGCCACUAGCUGAAGCCACUUUCUUUGAAUCUGGGACAAAAUAAGGAAGAAUAAGGAUUAAAAAUCAGCUUGCUUAAGAUUUCUUCAGAAGAAAUCUGUCUUUUCCCUCCCUAAAGCAUACCAUUUUUCUUUGAGGCUUUCUAGGUGUGCUCCUAACAAACCAUCAACAUGAUACUUUUCACAUCAUUCUUUCAACAAACAUUUAAUGAAUGCCUACUAUGUAACACACAUUGUGCUAGCUGCUGGGGAUACGGCAGUGAACACAACAGAAAAGGCCCCUACCCUCAGGGAGCUUACAUUCUCCUCCCUAAACAUGCUGUCCUGAAGUCAGUUAUAGCUGCAAAUUUUCCUCAGGAAUGUGUUUCUCACAGUUACUGACCACCAAGAUAAUGUCAAACAAUUUUAGAGCCGGAAGGGAUCUUAAAGAUCACCUAGUUCAAUGUUCCCAUUUUACAGACAGGUAAGGAACCUGAGCUUCAUGUAAGUUAACUGACUUCUCCAUGGCAACACAAAGAACUAGGACUAGAAUUUAGAUCUCUUAGCUCCUAAUGCUCUUUAAUAGCAGCACGACAGGAGCCCAACAGAACUCUCGAUUAGCACCCCUGUGAGUGCCUACUAAUUUCAACACCUCUAAUGUAUUUUCCCCCUGCUUUCUUUUUCCCUUUUGAAUACAUUUCCCUCAACCUUUUUUCUAAAUCUCCACGUCUUGCUCUCUUUCAUUUUCUUUCUCUCUCAUCUUCAUACCUAUCAGUUUUCUUUCUUCUUGUUUUACUUUUCCUUUACUUUUCACCCUCUCUACAAAUUCACCACCAUAAACAUACACUUUCCAAAAAUUAGUGCCCUUUUGGCCCCCUUUUAACAAUCGUUAAGCCCUACAAAAGGCUCAUUGAGAUUUGACUCCUUCAAGUCUCCACAUACAUAUUAUUCUAUGCUGUAUCAUAAAAAUUUAUAAUUUCAGGAAUAUUUUAGAGAUUGGAAGUUAUCUGACCAGCAAAAAAACAAAUUUGGAGAAGAAAACAAGAAUGGUUUUGUGAAUCAAACCAUUCUGUUACUUCUGUGCCAACCAACUGGAUCAGAAUGGUGGCCAACAUUUGUGAGUAUGUGUGGAAAAGCAGUAAGGAGCAAAUAAAAAGCCGACUGGAGGAGGAAGGUCCUUAUAUUGUGAACAAUGCUUUCCCCACCACAUACUUACCUGUGCAACUUCUUUCAACAUUUGCUACUCUGGGGAUUGGAAAGCUCAGAGCUGGAGGCUGAAGUGAAGAAGGAAAGGUUGGAGGGUGAGCCAUGGCACCAGCCCCACACUAGGAGCUCCCCUGAGAUAUUACAGCAGGGUUGACGCCAUAGCUCUGAAGUUCAACUCCAGCAAACAGUAAGAAAGGAGUCCAACCAGAACAUGAUAAACGAUGGGAUUCUUCUGCUCUUUGAAAAAUAAGGAAAUCAUGCUAUAAAGAUCUGAAUGUCCAGUUUCAACAUUAUGACUCCCUGUUCACCUCUUCAUUAUUGGCCAAACCCAGAUUCAUCUUUCAGACUAAUUCAAAGUACUAAGUUAAAAAAAAAAAAAAAAAAAAAAGCAGUGCUCAGUACAAACUUGCACACUUUUCCAGAAAAUGCAAAGACAGAGCUUACCUGGCCAUCAUGAAAACAUGUAAGACAGUGUGUUCAAAUACUUUGUGCCUAUCCACUCCUUGUACACUCUCUUGCUCUCUCGAGUACUCAACAUUAAAUCUAAGGCUCUCAUACACAUUAACACCAUCAACAAGCAGAAUUAAAGUUGUACUAUAUGGAUGUACUU